GCCAGGCAUGGUGGCUCAUGCCUGUAAUCCAAGCACUUGGGGAGGCCGAGGCAGGAGGAUUGCUUGAGCUCAGGAGUUUGAAACCAGCCUGAGCAACAUAGUGAGACCCUGUCUCUA
ensembl:misc_RNA Metazoa_SRP Metazoan signal recognition particle RNA